rnacentral:rRNA from 1 species
AACCUCCGUCGUCAUCCCUUAGAAGGCGUUACCUGCUUUCAGACUGCCUCGUUGCGGCGCACUCACUACUUCCGAAAGCCCAGCAUUUUGAGACAACAAUCCCUUCUUGUUCACGAUCAACUUAUUCGACCGUGGAACUGCCAUGGAUUGGUCUUUCGGUGCCGAUUGAUGCACGGUCGUCGGCGCCAUUAUG